rnacentral:lncRNA from 1 species
AAACAGAGCAGUUGGCAGCCUUCCAAGUUUCCUCCAUUUUUAAAGAGUUUGCCUACUGAGUACUUGGAUAAUCCCACCAUAUACAUUUCCUGUAGUUUGUGUACAUAUCUGGUUUCCUAUAUAUUGGGUAAGUCUUUUGAGUUUGAGAUACAUAGUAGAUUUAGAUCUAAAAUAGUUGGCAAAGAUGGCAACUAACUUGGCUUAUGCAAGUUGUUACUGCCCAAUCUUGAGCCCUGGUAAACACCCCAAAUUGACUUUGGAUUUUUUUCUGCUGUGCUUAGAUUGAGCCCCAAAAGCCUUCUAAAUACAAUACCCCAGGCAGCCACUUUCUUUGGAUCAGAAUUGGCACUCA